rnacentral:snRNA from 1 species
AUAUUUACCUGGCGGGGGAGAUAACCAUGAUCAUGAAAAUGGUUUUCCCAGGGUGAGGCUCAUCUCCUGCACUCCAGGUGUGCUGAUCGCUAGGAUUUGUUGUGGUAGUUGGGAAUUAUGUUCACCCUUUCCCCU